rnacentral:rRNA from 1 species
CAGUAGCCGCGGGAAUACAGAGGAUGCAAGCGUUAUCCGGAAUGAUUGGGCGUAAAGCGUCUGUAGGUGGCUUUUCAAGUCCGCCGUCAAAUCCCAGGGCUCAACCCUGGACAGGCGGUGGAAACUACCAAGCUGGAGUACGGUAGGGGCAGAGGGAAUUUCCGGUGGAGCGGUGAAAUGCGUAGAGAUCAGGAGGAACACCGAUGGCGAAGGCAGCCCCCUGGGCCUGUACUGACGCUCAAGCACGAAAGCGUGGGGAGCAAACAGGAUUAGAUACCCCAGUAGUCCCUGUCUCUUAUAC